CUUAAGAAAUUUUUUUAUUCCAUUAUUGGAGGGUCGUGGGGUGGCGAAUAGUGAUACCGUCACGGCCCAUGUGGGAGUCCUAAGAAUCACACACGAAAAUACUGCUUGAUCGAACGGUAACGAAGAUGCCUGUGAUAAAGGAAUCAGUGAGUCUAGCAGAUCAUCAACAUCUUUAAAAGGGAGUUAGUAAGAUGAAUGAAACUGUUCCAUAAAAGCAAUAAGAUAUUGGAGUUGACUUUUUUAUGAUUGAAUUUUUUGGGUUCAAUGCAUAAUGGUUUAUUUUCUAUAUAUAUACAUAAG
rnacentral:lncRNA from 1 species